rnacentral:rRNA from 1 species
AGUGAACGCUGGCGGCAGGCCUAACACAUGCAAGUCGAACGGCAGCACAGUAAGAGCUUGCUCUUACGGGUGGCGAGUGGCGGACGGGUGAGGAAUACAUCGGCAUCUACUUUUUCGUGGGGGAUAACGUAGGGACACUUACGCUAAUACCGCAUACGACCUACGGGUGAAAGCAGGGGAUCUUCGGACCUUGCGCGAUUGAAUGAGCCGAUGUCGGAUUAGCUAGUUGGCGGGGUAAAGGCCCACCAAGGCGACGAUCCGUAGCUGGUCUGAGAGGAUGAUCAGCCACACUGGAACUGAGACACGGUCCAGACUCCUACGGGAGGCAGCAGUGGGGAAUAUUGGACAAUGGGCGCAAGCCUGAUCCAGCCAUACCGCGUGGGUGAAGAAGGCCUUCGGGUUGUAAAGCCCUUUUGUUGGGAAAGAAAAGCAGCAGGUUAAUACCCCGCUGUUCUGACGGUACCCAAAGAAUAAGCACCGGCUAACUUCGUG